GGGACACGUGGUAUCCUGUCUGAAUAUGGGGGGACCAUCCUCCAAGGCUAAAUACUCCUGACUGACCGAUAGUGAACCAGUACCGUGAGGGAAAGGCGAAAAGAACCCCGGCGAGGGGAGUGAAAAAGAACCUGAAACCGUGUACGUACAAGCAGUGGGAGCACCUUCGGGUGUGACUGCGUACCUUUUGUAUAAUGGGUCAGCGACUUAUAUUCUGUAGCAAGGUUAACCGUAUAGGGGAGCCGCAGGGAAACCGAGUCUUAACUGGGCGUUAAGUUGCAGGGUAUAGACCCGAAACCCGGUGAUCUAGCCAUGGGCAGGUUGAAGGUUGGGUAACACUAACUGGAGGACCGAACCGACUAAUGUUGAAAAAUUAGCGGAUGACUUGUGGCUGGGGGUGAAAGGCCAAUCAAACCGGGAGAUAGCUGGUUCUCCCCGAAAGCUAUUUAGGUAGCGCCUCGUGAACUCAUCUUCGGGGGUAGAGCACUGUUUCGGCUAGGGGGUCAUCCCGACUUACCAACCCGAUGCAAACUACGAAUACCGAAGAAUGUUAUCACGGGAGACACACGGCGGGUGCUAACGUCCGUCGUGAAGAGGGAAACAACCCAGACCGCCAGCUAAGGUCCCAAAGUCAUGGUUAAGUGGGAAACGAUGUGGGAAGGCACAGACAGCCAGGAUGUUGGCUUAGAAGCAGCCAUCAUUUAAAGAAAGCGUAAUAGCUCACUGGUCGAGUCGGCCUGCGCGGAAGAUGUAACGGGGCUAAACCAUGCACCGAAGCUGCGGCAGCGACACUAUGUGUUGUUGGGUAGGGGAGCGUUCUGUAAGCCUGCGAAGGUGACCUGUGAGGGUUGCUGGAGGUAUCAGAAGUGCGAAUGCUGACAUAAGUAACGAUAAAGCGGGUGAAAAGCCCGCUCGCCGGAAGACCAAGGGUUCCUGUCCAACGUUAAUCGGGGCAGGGUGAGUCGACCCCUAAGGCGAGGCCGAAAGGCGUAGUCGAUGGGAAACAGGUUAAUAUUCCUGUACUUGGUGUUACUGCGAAGGGGGGACGGAGAAGGCUAUGUUAGCCGGGCGACGGUUGUCCCGGUUUAAGCAUGUAGGCUGGUUAUCCAGGCAAAUCCGGAUAAUCAAGGCUGAGGUGUGAUGACGAGGCACUACGGUGCUGAAGUAACAAAUGCCCUGCUUCCAGGAAAAGCCUCUAAGCAUCAGGUAACAUCAAAUCGUACCCCAAACCGACACAGGUGGUCAGGUAGAGAAUACCAAGGCGCUUGAGAGAACUCGGGUGAAGGAACUAGGCAAAAUGGUGCCGUAACUUCGGGAGAAGGCACGCUGGUGUGUAGGUGAAGUCCCUGCGGAUGGAGCUGAGACCAGUCGAAGAUACCAGCUGGCUGCAACUGUUUAUUAAAAACACAGCACUGUGCAAACACGAAAGUGGACGUAUACGGUGUGACGCCUGCCCGGUGCCGGAAGGUUAAUUGAUGGGGUUAUCCGUAAGGAGAAGCUCUUGAUCGAAGCCCCGGUAAACGGCGGCCGUAACUAUAACGGUCCUAAGGUAGCGAAAUUCCUUGUCGGGUAAGUUCCGACCUGCACGAAUGGCGUAAUGAUGGCCAGGCUGUCUCCACCCGAGACUCAGUGAAAUUGAACUCGCUGUGAAGAUGCAGUGUACCCGCGGCAAGACGGAAAGACCCCGUGAACCUUUACUAUAGCUUGACACUGAACAUUGAGCCUUGAUGUGUAGGAUAGGUGGGAGGCUUUGAAGCGUGGACGCCAGUCUGCGUGGAGCCAACCUUGAAAUACCACCCUU
rnacentral:rRNA from 1 species